CAACUCCUACUUUCAUAGCAGACAUAAUACAGCACCUCUACUUCACAAACAGCAGAAGACAUUGUUGCUACUCUUUCUCUAUUGCAUUGAAACAUCUGCCAUCUUUGCAACACUUUAACAACACAACUGACGACACUAUCUACAUGCCACACUCACACAGAAGGUAAACACUUUAACAACAAAACUGACUGCACUAUCUACAUGCCACACUCACACUGAUGGUUAACACUUAAACAACACAACUGAUGACACUAUCUGCAUGCCACACUCACACUGAUGGUUAACACUUAAACAACACAACUGAUGACACUAUCUACAUGCCACACUCACACCGAUGGUAAACACUUUAACAACACAACUGACUGCACUAUCUACAUGCCACACUCACACAGAAGGUAAACACUUUAACAACAAAACUGACUGCACUAUCUACAUGCCACACUCACACUGAUGGUUAACACUUAAACAACACAACUGAUGACACUAUCUGCAUGCCACACUCACACUGAUGGUUAACACUUAAACAACACAACUGAUGACACUAUCUACAUGCCACACUCACACCGAUGGUAAACACUUUAACAACACAACUGACUACACUAUCUACAUGCCACACUCACAUUGAUGGUUAACACUUAAACAACACAACUGAUGACACUAUCUACAUGCCACACUCACACCGAUGGUAAACACUUUAACAACACAACUGACUACACUAUCUACAUGCCACACUCACACAGAAAGUAAACACUUUAACAACACAACUGACUACACCAGGGGUCACCAACAUGGUAUAAACUCAACUUGUCGUGUUUGGAGGAAGAAGAAUACUGAGUUGCAUCCCAAGAACACCACACCUACUGUGAAGCAUGGGGGUGGAAACAUCAUGCUUUGGGGCUGUUUGUCUGCUAAGGGGACAGGACGAUUGAUCCGUGUUAUGGAAAGAAUGAAUGGGGCCAUGUAUCGUGACAUUUUGAGCUAUAACCUCCUUCCAUCAGUGAGAGCUUUGAAUGGUUGACCAAAUACUUAUUUUCCAGCAUAAUUUACAAAUAAAUUCUUUAAAAUUCCUACAA